UGAUGAUUCAAUAACCUAACAAAAACCCGGAACCGCCUAGCUGACGGUGGCCGCUAGGCUCAUCAGUCAAGUCAGAUCCACAGAUCAAUCAACUGAAGACAUCUCCAUGGCGUCCCAAGUAGCCCACUGGAAGAGAUCCUGCUGAUAGAGAAAGAGGCAGCCCUGCCCCAUUCUGCAUAUCAUCCUAGUGGGAUGCUUUCUACUCUGGA